rnacentral:rRNA from 1 species
UACGGAGGGUGCAAGCGUUAUCCGGAUUCACUGGGUUUAAAGGGUGCGUAGGUGGGCAGGUAAGUCAGUGGUGAAAUCUCCGGGCUUAACCCGGAAACUGCCAUUGAUACUAUCUGUCUUGAAUACCGUGGAGGUGAGCGGAAUAUGUCAUGUAGCGGUGAAAUGCUUAGAUAUGAUAUAGAACACCAAUUGCGAAGGCAGCUCACUACACGAAUAUUGACACUGAGGCACGAAAGCGUGGGGAUCAAACAGG